AUUGAACGCUGGCGGCAGGCCUAACACAUGCAAGUCGAGCGGAGCGGCGGACGGGUGAGUAAUGCCUAGGAAUCUGCCUGGUAGUGGGGGAUAACGUCCGGAAACGGGCGCUAAUACCGCAUACUAUCAGAUGAGCCUAGGUCGGAUUAGCUAGUUGGUGGGGUAAAGGCCUACCAGGGCGACGAUCCGUAACUGGUCGGAGAGGAUGAUCAGUCAAAUGGGAAUUGAGAAACGGGCAAGACUCGUACGGGGGGAAGAGGUGGGGAAUAUGGGAAAAGGGGCGAAAGCCUGAUGAAGCAAUGCGGCGGGUGUGAAGAAGGUUUUCGGAUUGUAAAGAAUUUUAAGUGGGGAGGCGUUACCAAAAGAAUAAGCACCGGCUAACUUCGUGCCAGCAGCCGCGGUAAUAC
rnacentral:rRNA from 1 species